GAUGAACGCUGGCGGCGUGCCUAAUACAUGCAAGUCGAACGCAUAGCGACAGGUGCUUGCACCUUUCAGGUGGGUGGCCAACGGGUGAGUAACACGUGGACAACCUGCCUCAAGGCUGGGGAUAACAUUUGGAAACAGAUGCUAAUACCGAAUAAAACUUAGUGUCGCAUGACACAAAGUUAAAAGGCGCUUCGGCGUCACCUCGAGAUGGAUCCGCGGUGCAUUGGUUAGUUGGUGGGGUAAAGGGCUACCAAGACAAUUAUGCAUAGCCGAGUUGAGUGACGGAUCGGCCACAUGAGGACUGAGACACGGCCCAAACUACUACGGGAGGCUGCAGUAGGGAAUCUUAGACAAUGGUCGAAAGCAUGAUGGAACAACGCCGCGUGUGUGAUGAAGGCGUUCGGGUCGUAAAGCACUGUUGUAUGGGAAGAACAGCUAGAAUAGGAAAUGAUGCUAGUUUGACGGUACCAUACCAGAAAGGGACGGCUAACUACGUG
rnacentral:rRNA from 1 species